rnacentral:rRNA from 1 species
UACGGAGGAUGCGAGCGUUAUCCGGAUUUAUUGGGUUUAAAGGGUGCGUAGGCGGACGCUUAAGUCAGCGGUAAACUUGCGGGGCUCAACCUCGUCGAGCCGUUGAAACUGGGUGCCUUGAGUGGGCGAGAAGUACGCGGAAUGCGUGGUGUAGCGGUGAAAUGCAUAGAUAUCACGCAGAACUCCGAUUGCGAAGGCAGCGUACCGGCGCCCAACUGACGCUGAAGCACGAAGGCGUGGGUAUCGAACAGG